UACGAAGGGGGCUAGCGUUGCUCGGAAUCACUGGGCGUAAAGGGCGCGUAGGCGGCCAUUCAAGUCAGAGGUGAAAGCCCAAGGCUCAACCUUGGAAUUGCCUUUGAUACUGUUUGGCUUGAGACCGGAAGAGGUUAGUGGAACCGCGAGUGUAGAGGUGAAAUUCGUAGAUAUUCGCAAGAACACCAGUGGCGAAGGCGGCUAACUGGUCCGGUUCUGACGCUGAGGCGCGAAAGCGUGGGGAGCAAACAGG
rnacentral:rRNA from 1 species